CCUGCCUGUGCAGGUCGGGAUGUGGCUGGCGGGGUCUCUGACCCCGGGCAGGCGGCACCGCCGCCGGAGAGCUGAACCACACA
rnacentral:ncRNA from 1 species